UGACAGUUCAAAAGCGCACAUGUUCAAUAAUUCAUUCUAUUGAUAAAAUAUCGAUUAUUUCCCGGGAAUCGAUUAUCGAUAUUUUCAGAAAAUCAAUAUCAAUCGAAUGUUUUAUCGAUAUAUCGACUGAUAAUCGGC